rnacentral:misc_RNA from 1 species
AAAAGAUUCAGUUUAAGAAUUUUAAUGUUAAUGCAAACAUUCUCAAAAUAUGAAUUUUCAAUAAUUUGAUGUGCUCCAGUGUGUUUAGUUGUGUACAUGGUAAAGGGAAGGUAAAGAUGGUGAGAGUUGUACUUUAUAAUCUUUAGUGAACAUCCCACUCACAUGGUUUGGAAAGGAAAAUAAGCCAUGGACAUGUUAUAUUGGUGAAACCUUAAAGUGAAAGCAAAAGCCCCCACUAAAUUCUAAAAGUGAAACCUUACAUUGGUGCCAUGAACAAUAUUUAAGACACCAUUAGGCAAACCAGCUUCCAUAGCUAACUCUGCCAGCAUCACAGAAGCCCCUG